rnacentral:rRNA from 1 species
GACGAACGCUGGCGGCGUGCUUAACACAUGCAAGUCGAACGGAAAGGCCCUGCUUUUGUGGGGUGCUCGAGUGGCGAACGGGUGAGUAACACGUGAGUAACCUGCCCUUGACUUUGGGAUAACUUCAGGAAGCUGGGGCUAAUACCGGAUAGGAGCUCCUGCUGCAUGGGGGGGGUUGGAAAGUUUCGGCGGUUGGGGAUGGACUCGCGGCUUAUCAGCUUGUUGGUGGGGUAGUGGCUUACCAAGGCUUUGACGGGUAGCCGGCCUGAGAGGGUGACCGGCCACAUUGGGACUGCGAUACGGCCCAGACUCCUACGGGAGGCAGCAGUGGGGAAUAUUGCACAAUGGGCGGAAGCCUGAUGCAGCAACGCCGCGUGCGGGAUGACGGCCUUCGGGUUGUAAACCGCUUUCGCCUGUGACGAAGCGUGAGUGACGGUAAUGGGUAAAGAAGCACCGGCUAACUACGUG